AACGAACGCUGGCGGCAGGCCUAACACAUGCAAGUCGAACGCUGUAGCAAUACAGAGUGGCAGACGGGUGAGUAACGCGUGGGAACGUGCCUUUCGGUUCGGAAUAACUCAGGGAAACUUGAGCUAAUACCGGAUACGCCCUUCGGGGGAAAGAUUUAUUGCCGAAAGAUCGGCCCGCGUCCGAUUAGCUAGUUGGUGUGGUAAUGGCGCAUCAAGGCGACGAUCGGUAGCUGGUCUGAGAGGAUGAUCAGCCACACUGGGACUGAGACACGGCCCAGACUCCUACGGGAGGCAGCAGUGGGGAAUAUUGGACAAUGGGCGCAAGCCUGAUCCAGCCAUGCCGCGUGAGUGAUGAAGGCCCUAGGGUUGUAAAGCUCUUUCGCCAGGGACGAUAAUGACGGUACCUGGAUAAGAAGCCCCGGCUAACUUCGUGCCAGCAGCCGCCGUAACAC
rnacentral:rRNA from 1 species